ensembl:snRNA U6 U6 spliceosomal RNA
GCUCUUCAGCAGCACAUAUACUAAAAUUGGAAUGACACAGAGAAGAUUAGCAUGGCCCCUGUGCAAGGAUGACAUGCAAAUUCGUGAAGCAUUCCAUAUUUUU